UUAUAUUUAUUUUUAGUUUUAAGCUUAUCCUCUUCCCCUUUUCCUUCCAAAACUCCAAUGACAGAAAUAUUAGGGUUUUUUUUUUGCUCUAGCCCCAUAGAUCUCUGAAGCCUUGUUCAUUUUCUUCUGUCUAGUUUAUCUUUGUUUUCAUAUUGGAGAUUUUCCUUUACUCCAUUUUCACCUGUAUUGAUUCUUCCCUCUGUCUCUUUCAUUCUGCUGUUAAACCCACUCAUUGCGGUUUUUUAGUUCUAAGCUUUCCAUUUUGUUCUUUUUUAGUAUAUUCUCUUUAUUCGGUGAGACUUUCUGUAUUUCCGCUGGGUCUAUUUUGUCAUCUGUUUCGAGCAUGUUUGUAAGUGCUCCUGGAAGCAUUGUUCUGAUGGCCGCUUUCACAUCUUUGUCAGAUACUUCUAACAUCUCUGCCAUCUCAGUAGUUGUCUUUUUGUUUUGUUUUGUUUUCAUUCUACUUUGAGAUUUUCCUGGUUGCUGGUAUCACAAAUUAUUUUUGUUUGAAACCAGCAGUUAGGGGGAUUAUGUUAAGAGAUUCUGGGCCUUAAGUAAAUCUUCCGUUUCAGCAGACUUUGUUGGACACAGUUCUGGCCCAGGAAGAGGGGAGAGGGGCCUCAUUACUGUCACAUGGUGUUGGAAAUCCCGUCUCCCCGCGAGGUCGCACCGCCACCAGUGGUGGCGGCGGUGGUAUGGAGGGUUCCUACUGCAGGCGGCAGGAAUGAUCGUGCUGGCUCACCUGUUUGUCUUUUUCUGACACACCCAAGUGGAGUAAGGUGGGGUCACUUACUACUACCCAGCCUGGGGGGAAGGGUUAGUUUCCCCACUUAGCCUUUGCUGUGGAUGGGGUUGGGGCCAUAGUUGGUUUUUGUUUCUCAUGGUGGUGAUUGGCCAGAAUAAAAUGGUUAUAAUCUAACAAUGUUCUGUCUUUCUGGGCUGCCCCUUUCCCAGGCCUUUGGCUGGAGAAAGUAGGUUUUGUUUGGGGCUUCUUUUGUAUUUUCUUGGCAUUUCUAAGUUGCUGUCUUCUUCAGUCCCCAGUCUUGGGCAUGUGAGGCAAAGAGAAACCCGGGGAACUCACCACUGGCUCAUUCCUUGGGUCCCAGGGUCUUGGCUGGUUUCCCUCCGUCUUUCAGAGUUCUUUUAUGUUUGCGUUAUACCCGAUGCCCAGGGGUCUUAGUGGUAUCUACUGGGAGAAACAAGGAAAAGUACGUUUAUUCCAUUUUCCUGGAGCUGGAAGUCCUCCUGUGUCCUUCUGAUGUGCCCAUCAUUUGGGGGGGGUGGGGGGAGUUGAAAAAAUUUUGGCAUAACAAGAUACUUCAGGUUCAUCUUUUACCCCACCCCCCACCCCAACUGUGGAAUUAGUCAUUUCUCCAAAAAGCCCUUGUUCUGUUUAUAAACAGUCCUCAUAGGAUUUUGCGGUGGGUGAGAGCCAUAAGUCUGCCCUCCAAUAAAUCCAUUACCAUAUUAAACUGAAAGUGGAUCUCGGACCAGAUUCUGCCCCAUAUAGAAGCAUUUAUCAACUUAAUUCUUAUUAUCAGAGAAGCACAAAAUAAAAUAUCUUACAGGCUUGAGAAGUCAUAGCUUUGUGGUUCUGUCGGUGCUCUACAGUUUGCAUAUCAGGUCACUACAGAAAAACUCCAGUUUUCCAUAGUGAGAGUACUGACACUUCCCCUCCCUGUCAGCAUCAAGCAAGCAGAACCAUCCAGAAUUCGUAUUGUCUCAGGACCAAGGAGGGAGUUGAGCCGAGGGCAUCACCCCUUUAUAAAGAAUACAGAACACACUGGAUUAUCCCACAAAUUCAGGGAAGGGUAGUGAAUGUCUCUAAAAUAUAUUGACCUAAUUUAUAUAACUUGGGUGUCUCUGAUUUCACCAGAGGUAACCUGUUUUUUGGGAUCAUAUCAUUGCUAGUCAACAGGCCACUGCUUUAAUCAAGAAGAAGCAAAGGAACCAUUGCUGACAGAGACAGUGAUUAAAGUCCUUGCAGGACCUCGCUCUGGAGAAUGGGCCCACUGACCACCACUGGCCAGUACAGCCUCCACUAGAAUAAUCUUGGUACCAGAUGGGAGCUUGGCCUAAGUAAUGUUUAUGCAGAAUAUCCCAAGAUUUAUAGAUGCCUGCUACUUUCCUCCCGUGGUAGAGAGGCACACAUGAGGUUCCCGUCCCAUCAGGAGCCUGCACACUUCACCCAUUAAGUGGUAAUUCAGAGUGACAACUACAUUGAAAUGAAGCAAGUUAGUUAAUCACCAUGAAACUGUUCCUGAAAUACCCUGGCCAAGUACUCCCGAAUCACUGGAGGCCUCUGAUUACCGCAUUUUCUACUGAAGUGAGAUUUUCCUGCACGAGGCUGUAAAUAUUUUUAGGGGACAUACAGGACGGCGGAGGGCUGAAAUUUGGUUGGACUUGGUAGCAGAGAAUCCAGAAUCUUCUACGGAGCCACCGUAACCAGCACUGUGCAGAGCCCUCAGGGAUGUCCUGCAGGCGUGUCGGGGAAGCUGCUGACAAGCCGAGAGUCUGGGUAGGGCUAUGGCACUUCUAAUAUGACUUGAUUUUCCCUAAAGCGGGACUUCCAGUGACAAAGAGCUCUGUCAGAAAACACAUGCCCAGUCUUGUCUGCCCAUUCUGGCUAGCCUGCCAGGACUGCUGGGAGUAGAAGGUAGGCUGUGCCACGGUUGCGGGGGGGGGGGGGUCUGUUCCCCCUCUGGGGAAGUCCGAGUCGGGGCUCGUGGUGGACACCAAGCUUGUGAACAAGUUCACCUUUCCCAGAGACACAGACAGAAGCCAGGCAAGGGGCUUGGACGCGACUCUGAGACCUGCCACGGCCCCUGCCUGGCUUGCGGGGUCACUGAUGGUCUGUGGGUUGUUCACGGCAGCAUUCUUACCCCCCGCAGACCCUCCACACUUCUCUCAGUGCAGGUAUUUGUGGACCGCUCACAGUGCUUGCCCAAAGCAGGCUUUGGGAAGCGUGUUUCAAUGGAACAGACUUUGCCUUUCUAGGCAGAAAACUGCCAUCGUUUGGGAAUUUUUUUUUUCCUCCAUAGUUUUCUUUCUCAUUAAUGUAGAGGCUAGCGAUAAAGCCAAAGUAUUCUCUAUGUCCUCUAGGAGACCCCUCUGAUUCCAGAUCUCCCUCUCCCUUCCUGUCACGAGAGCGCCACUCAGUGGCCCCUGGGUGACUGGUAAGGCCGUUCCUGCCCUGCCUGUCCAUAAACGCACAACUCAAUCCUUGAAGUCGUGACAUCGAGAUAUUGUAUAUGAAGAUGCCUGUAACCCACAUCAUUCACUCUUGUUGCAUGAAUAAUUCAGCAUAUAUUUAAUUAGUGCUGGUCCUGACAGGUAAGCACUCAGACGCAAAUAGGGCUGUAAGAAGCUCACGGCAUCCUACGCGAGAGACAAGGAAAUGUGUAAUUCACCAAACAUCAUACUUGAAGCCAAAGUAGGGAGGGAGAUGGACCCACUCGGUGGACCAGGCAGGGCCGUGAAGGGUGAA